AGGACGAACGCUGGCGGCGUGCUUAACACAUGCAAGUCGAGCGGAAAGGCCCUUCGGGGUACUCGAGCGGCGAACGGGUGAGUAACACGUGAGCAAUCUGCCCUUAGCUUCGGGAUAGCCCCGGGAAACCGGGAUUAAUACCGAAUAUGACCUCGGCCGACAUCGGCUUUGGUGGAAAGUUUUUCGGCUAGGGAUGAACUCGCGGCCUAUCAGCUUGUUGGUGGGGUAAUGGCCUACCAAGGCGACGACGGGUAGCCGGCCUGAGAGGGCGACCGGCCACACUGGGACUGAGACACGGCCCAGACUCCUACGGGAGGCAGCAGUGGGGAAUAUUGCGCAAUGGGCGAAAGCCUGACGCAGCGACGCCGCGUGGGGGAUGAAGGCCUUCGGGUUGUAAACCCCUUUCAGCAGGGACGAAGCGAGAGUGACGGUACCUGCAGAAGAAGCGCCGGCUAACUACGUGCCAGCAGCC
rnacentral:rRNA from 1 species